rnacentral:rRNA from 1 species
GACGAACCGUCCGAACGUUAUUCGGAAUCACUGGGCUUAAAGGGUGCGUAGGCGGCACGGAAAGUUGGGUGUGAAAUCCCUCGGCUCAACCGAGGAACUGCGCCCAAAACUACCGUGCUCGAGGGAGAUAGAGGUGAGCGGAACUUAGGGUGGAGCGGUGAAAUGCGUUGAUAUCCUAAGGAACACCGGUGGCGAAAGCGGCUCACUGGAUCUUUUCUGACGCUGAGGCGCGAAAGCGUGGGGAGCGAACGGG